rnacentral:rRNA from 1 species
AUUGAACGCUGGCGGCAGGCCUAACACAUGCAAGUCGAGCGAGCGGCGGACGGGUGAGUAAUGUCUGGGAAACUGCCUGAUGGAGGGGGAUAACUACUGGAAACGGUAGCUAAUACCGCAUACCAUCAGAUGUGCCCAGAUGGGAUUAGCUAGUAGGUGGGGUAACGGCUCACCUAGGCGACGAUCCCUAGCUGGUCUGAGAGGAUGACCAGCCACACGGGAACGGAGAAACGUUCCGGCCUCCUCCGGGAGGCGGCGGUGGGGAAUAUUGCAAAAUGGGGGAAGGCCUGAGGCAGCCAGGCCGCGUGUGUGAAGAAGGCCUUCGGGUUGUAAGGCACUUUCAGCGGGGAGGCGUUACCCGCAGAGGAAGCACCGGCUAACUCCGUGCCAGCGGCCGCGUAAUAC